AUUGAACGCUGGCGGCAUGCUUUACACAUGCAAGUCGAACGGUAACAGGCCGCAAGGUGCUGACGAGUGGCGAACGGGUGAGUAAUGCAUCGGAACGUGCCCAGUCGUGGGGGAUAACUACUCGAAAGAGUAGCUAAUACCGCAUACGAUCUAUGGAUGAAAGCGGGGGACCGUAAGGCCUCGCGCGAUUGGAGCGGCCGAUGUCAGAUUAGGUAGUUGGUGGGGUAAAGGCUCACCAAGCCAACGAUCUGUAGCUGGUCUGAGAGGACGAGCAGCCACACUGGGACUGAGACACGGCCCAGACUCCUACGGGAGGCAGCAGUGGGGAAUUUUGGACAAUGGGCGCAAGCCUGAUCCAGCAAUGCCGCGUGCAGGAAGAAGGCCUUCGGGUUGUAAACUGCUUUUGUACGGAACGAAACGGCUCUGGUUAAUACCCGGGGCUAAUGACGGUACCGGAAGAAUAAGCACCGGCUAACUACGUG
rnacentral:rRNA from 1 species